CUAGUCUCUAGCAACUGGAUAGACUUAAACUCAUAGAGUAAAUAACUAAAAUGCAAUUAAAUUGCUGCUAUGGGGGAAGUGGCUGACUGCAAGGUCAGCAGUGACUCCAGAGGAUAAAAUUUUGAGUUUAAAGAGGAGUAGAAAAGGCAGACAAAGGAAGACCAUUCCAGUGAGAAGAAACACUAUUUGCAAUAACAACUACAAAUGCUAGGAGUAGUUCCUGUGGCUGCAACGUAGGCCAUUAAUGAAGAAUGGGACCAAACAAUGAAAAGCCUCCUGUGAUAACCUAGUAGUCUUCUUGGUUCUCUUGCCAAUUUGGAAUCAUAGAGGAUUUUAAAGAAGUCCCGUCUUCAAACUCAAACCUCAUUCUGGCUUCUGCGAUCAAUCACCUUUUGGGCUUUUCCGGUUGGCCAGGCUGUCGGCUUUGACAUGAGCGCCUCUCAGCCCUGAGUGUAGACUUCAAUCUUUGUCAUCAUGCAAAUAGUGUAAGAACGGCCAGUAGAAACAUUCCAGGAGAUUGUUCAAUCUUGUGAAGGAAGACAGUUUUCAGAGUAAGAAAUGAAUUCUUCCUCUUUUUUUCUUCUUAAAAUCAGUCUUGUGUUUUCACAAAAAUUCACUCAAGUGCUUGAUAUGUAUAUGAGGGGAAAAUCAAUUCUUCUGGGAUUUACAUAUG